CCUACGGGAGGCAGCAGUAGGGAAUUUUCCGCAAUGGGCGAAAGCCUGACGGAGCAAUACCGCGUGAGGGAUGACGGCCUGUGGGUUGUAAACCUCUUUUCUCAAGGAAGAAGUUCUGACGGUACUUGAGGAAUAAGCAUCGGCUAACUCUGUGCCAGCAGCCGCGGUAAUACAGAGGAUGCAAGCGUUAUCCGGAAUCACUGGGCAUAAAGCGUCUGUAGGUUGUUUAGUAAGUCUGCUGUUAAAGACUGGGGCUUAACCCCAGAAAGCAGUGGAAACUGCUAGACUCGAGUGUGGUAGAGGUAGAGGGAAUUCCUAGUGUAGCGGUGAAAUGCGUAGAUAUUAGGAAGAACACCAAUGGCGAAGGCACUCUACUGGGCCAUAACUGACACUGAGAGACGACAGCUAGGGGAGCAAACGGGGAUUAGAUACCCCCGGUAGUCCUAGCCGUAAACGAUGGAUACUAGAUGUUGCACGUACUUAACCGUACGUCAGUAUCGUAGUCGUAGGUACGUUAAGUAUCCGCCGUCGGUAGGUACGCGUCGCGAGAGUAGAACGUACGAAGGUAAGUUAGUUACGGCGUGAGACGUGCCGACGGCGACGACGAGGGAGGAGG
rnacentral:rRNA from 1 species